AUUGAACGCUGGCGGCAUGCCUUACACAUGCAAGUCCAACGGAUUUUGGGGCUUGCUCCAAAGUUAGUGGCGAACGGGUGAGUAAAGCAUCGCAACGUACCCAGUCGUGGGGGAGAACGUAGCGAAAGUUACGCUAAUACCGCAUACGAUCUGAGGAUGAAAGCGGGGGACCUUCGGGCCUCGCGCGAUUGGAGCGGCCGAAGUCGGCUUAGCUAGUUGGUGAGGUACAGGCCGACCAAGGCGACGAUCCGUAGCUGGUCUGAGAGGACGACCAGGCACACGGGGACUGAGACACGGCCCAGACUCCGACGGGGGGGAGCAGUGGGGAAUUUUGGUCAAUGGGAGGAAGCCGGGUCCAGCCAUGCCGCGUUGGUGAAGAGGGGCUUCGGGUUGUAAAGCUCUUUCAGACGGAAAGGACGCUCUCGGGUGAAUCUCCCGGGAGGAUGACGGUACCGUAAGAAGAAGCACCGGCUAACUACGUGCCAGCAGCCGCCGCGG
rnacentral:rRNA from 1 species